GCGCGCUUGGUGUAACGGUAACACACGGCACUCUCUAUUGAAAUCCGCCGAGUCUGGGGUUCGACUCCCCAAGCCCGCC